rnacentral:rRNA from 1 species
UGGGGAAUAUUGCACAAUGGAGGGAACUCUGAUGCAGCGACGCCGCGUGAGUGAUGAAGGACUUCGUUUCGUAAAACUCUGUUCUAUGGGAAGAAAAGGACUGUACCAUAGGAGAAAGCUCCGGCUAAAUACGUGCCAGCAGCAGCGGUAAUACGUAUGGAGCGAGCGUUGUCCGGAAUUAUUGGGCGUAAAGGGUGCGCAGGCGGCUUUACAAGUUGGAUGUGAAAUAUUGUGGCUCAACCACAAACGUGCAUCCAAAACUGCAAAGCUUGAGUUAAGGAGAGUUAAGUGGAAUUCCUGGUGUAGCGGUGGAAUGCGUAGAUAUCAGGAGGAAUACCGGUGGCGAAGGCGACUUACUGGACUUAAACUGACGCUCAGGCACGAAAGCGUGGGGAGCAAACAGG